rnacentral:rRNA from 1 species
AACGAGGUAGCAAUAUCUCUAGUAAAGUGGCGGAAGGGUGAGGAAUGGGUAGAUAACGUACCCUUGAGAUGGGCAUAACGGCUCGAAAGAGCCGCUAAUACCCGAUGAGACCACAGUGUGGAAACACACAGAGGUCAAAGGCCGGGGAUCUUCGGACCUGGCGCUCAGGGAUCGGUCUGCUCCCUACCAGCUAGUUGGCGGGGUAAUGGCCCACCAAGGCUGCGACGGGUACCCGGGCUGAGAGGCUGGACGGGCACAUCGGCACUGAGACACUGGCCGGACACCUACGGGUGGCUGCAGUUCGGAAUAUUCGGCAAUGGACGAAAGUCUGACCGAGCGACGCCGCGUGCGGGAUGAAGGCCCUAUGGGUUGUAAACCGCUUUCGCGAUUUAACAAGUCAUGGGUAUCUAACAAAUACUCAUGUUGAGCAAGGAUCGUAAAGAAGCCCCCGCUAAUCACGUGCCAGCAGCGGCGGUAAUACGUGAGGGGCGAACGUUGUUCGGUGUCACUGGGCUUAAAGGGUGCGUAGGUGGUUGCGUAAGUAACGUGUGAAAUCCCUCGGCUUACCCGGGGAAUUGCAUGUUAUACUGCGUGACUUGAGGGUCAGAGGGGAAUGGGGAACUCCAGGUGUAGCGGUGAAAUGCGCAGAUAUCUGGGGGAAGGCCGGCGGCGAAGGCGCCAUUCUGGCUGAUACCUGACACUGAGGCACGAAAGCGUGGGGAGCAAACAGGAUUAGAUACCCUGGUAGUCCACGCCCUAAACGAUGGAUACUAAUCAGGAGGCCCUGCAA